AGGACCUUGUUGUUUCCAUGGCGGAAAGGAGUGUCACAAACAUAGCUGCUAGCUAGCUCUACCAAUCCAUGAAUGAGACCAUGAGCAACGUCCAAGAAGAACCACUCCAGGAUAAAAGAGCCGUGUUAGAACCAAGUAGCUACAACAUACAAAGCAAGCCUCAGGAAAUAACAAUUUACUCCUACCUACCAAAGCACAGAGGUCAACAACAAGGCCAGCAGUAAUCUCCGGGAUGCGGACGUCUGAGCAGAUUAGCUAGUAUGCUGAGAAAUCCAUCUGCACUCAAGCCAAAAAACUAGUCACAGUUUGUCUCAAGCCAUAGGCAUUCAUCAGAAAAAUGUGAAAAGGAAGAUCAUCAUUCAAGACUAGAGACCAUGUUCAACUUCCAUGAAUGAGACCAUGUGCAAACGUCCAAGAAGAAGAAGAAGAACCCCUCAAGUGUCGUGUUAGAACCAGUAGCUAAAACACAAAGCAAGCCUCAGGAAAUAACAAGUUACUCCUACUGAAGCAAGCACAGAGCUGGAUAUGGUGCCAAGUGAGUAUCGGAGGAGGACGGACGUUAUUUGUUUCCAUGACGUUUCUUCGUCUUCUUCAACUCUAAUCUGAUUUGAUCGAGCAAGUAAAGAUCGCGGAGAAACUGAUUAAAACUGAAUCUAUUGGAUUGAUGGUGUUUGACCAAGUACAGGUUUACAGACCAUAGCGAGUUUCGUCAAGAACCACCCGUGGCCUAACGUUGAUGCUCUUGGCGAAGUGCUGCUGAACUAUUAUCGUCUAACCGAAAGAAAGAUUUAGAUACUACUACACUGUGCUUGUUGGCUGUCUCAAGGAAUCUCGUCAUCUUCUCACAGCUGAUAUGGGACCGGGCUCUUGGACUGCCACUAGAGCGGCCAAAGAGUGUAAACAUGUCCUCCCAAAGGUGAAACUUUGCAACUUCUUGGGGCUCUUAAGCUCCUCUACAUCUCUCAGAGUGAGUCUGUCCCAUCUCUUGAAAAAUAUUGUCCUUGGGAGUUCCAGCCCAACAAAUUUGAUAGAUAAGAGACAGAGAGAGAUCGUUCUAAUGGCGACAAGAGAGCAACAUGAUGAUGGUUCGAAUCUACUACUCAACAGAAUCCAUGAAUUGUAUGGAGAAUUUAGGGUUCCUGGAGCUUCGAACCUCAAAGCCAUGGGUUCCUUAUCCCAGAUAGAGUAUCUAUCUAUGGUCCAAUAUUUACUCGGUUCCGAGCCAACACUGCAGUCAAGCAAUGGCCAAGGAGAUGGCCUUGUUAGCCUUCAAUCGGGCUCUUAACCAGAGAUUUGCUUUUUACAUCUUCACAAAUAAUUUGGUCAAGGAGAUCAUCAUUGAAGGAGGUAGAGAGCAUGUACAACGUAUUCCAUAAAUGACACCAUUCUAUGAGCCAACGUCCAAGAAGCAGAAGAAGAAGAAGACCUCCAGGGACCUGAGACGAAGUGAAAUUGAUAAUGAUGUUCUUAUUCUCGUAGUCUCACCACAUUGCUAUAGGCUGACAUCCUUGUUCGUGGUUAUGCUGGUUUGCCUUGAAGGUCUUAGACCAAGUCUUCCCAAAGAUCAUGAGGAACCAGGAUUACUGUGUGGGAGGUUCAAAGAGAAAGAAAAAUCAUUGUGGGAGUGCGUUUGAUUUCUUAGUUUAAUUUUCAGAUGAUGUUCUUGCUGUGUACACACAUUCAGAUGAGAGAGAUCGAUGAUCCACAGUUUCUUUCCUACACGAAUCAUGGAGCCACCGGUGGGAUAUGACAAAUAUUUCUUCUGGUCUAUCAUAUUUUUAUGUUUCUUGAUCGUGGAGGUUCAAGGCCUUAUUGGAGGGAAGGAUGGUUUGCGUAUAACUUCGAUUUUCUGAUGUCACUUCACUUCGCAGAUGUAAGAUAUGUCUUGCAAACGAGUUUGUUCUUCUAUCUUAUCCUCCCAUGCAAAAGGCUCGACAAAUUCAGGCCCAAGACCCUAUAUUUUAGUGGAGGAGGAUGCUUUGAUCGGCUGGUGAUGGUUUUGAUGGAUCGUUUUUGUCUUCUCUGCGCUACAUCUUCAGGUUUUGGAUGAUGCUUUUAUCGAUGAGAGUGAUGGCUUUGAU